CAGGUGGAGGGGGCGGGCAAAGAUUCCCAAAGAUGAAGGUGGUGAAGAGUAGACAGCAAAGUCACACACCAGAAGACAGCUGGACGAGAACAAGGUCAGGCAACCGAAGGCUUAAAGAUUGCAUCUAUCCAGUUACCAGAUCAAAAACAUCCAGGAACCAGUGGGGGCUUUUCACCUUAAUUAGAGAGCACACUGUAGAGAAGACACAGCAAAGGGCCUCAGGUCAGAGCUGAACCCGGCUGCUGCAUUCAGCCUCGAGGCAUGUAGUCACCGGUGCAACCUGCAUGCUACAUCAGCACCCAGUGCUUUACUAUAUUAUUUCAUAAGGUAUUAAACCAAAAAUUGCGCUGCAUCUAUCAUGUUAAAAUCUAGCUUCAAGAUAUAGACUCGAAUCUUAUAACUUGAAUUUGUACAGUUGUACAAAUAACUCUCAACAACCUGAGGUGACAGCGAGUGGCCAACGCAGACUACCGUCCACAGUGUUUUAUCUGUUGUGUGAAAAAUCAGAUGUGUCACGCCUCAUUACGCCGCCUAGUCAAAUGCAACUGACCCGCAUGGUGUUUAAGAGAGAAAAAGAAGAAGCCUCCUCAGAGAAGUGGGAGGAAGAAUCAAGAUAAAGCCAUGAUGGGAAGUGAUUAUGCUGAAGACGGCUCACUGCCGCAUUGUUUACCCUCUUCAAUUAGAUUACGUCUCUUGCUUCGUUCAGCUCUCGGUUUAUAUGUGUGAAAUUGAUUGAUUGUAGGUGGGAGGAUGGAGGUAAUGAUGCCUGGAGACGGAUGAAGUGUUAAAAAAGCAAAAAACCUUUAUUUUUCUCUUCUUACAAAUAAUAUAUCAUGAAUG